AGGUCAGAGUAGAUUAUUAAUUAUUUUUGCACAAUGCCCAGUGCACCCUUUUGUUACUGAUAUUUCUGUUAACACAACAGUGACUGUUCUCUGAAAACUAUUUCAGUGAAGUGGAAGAUUUUAACCGACAAAUUGACAAACAAUUGAGGAAAGAAGGGAGACCAUUCAAUUGAUGGGUGUUGCUCUUACAUUUACACAUUUGGAGUUUGGAAUUAGAUAGUUGAAGCCAUUCUUGCAGCAACUGGUGGAAAAGGGGAUCUUUUUGGUGCUUUUGUUCUAGCACAAAUAAUUUUGUUCUUUCAUAUAAUAUAAAUAAAUACAUGUGUAUAUAUAAAUAAAUUCAUGCUUGAAUCAUU